rnacentral:rRNA from 1 species
CGCCUCCUGACAAAUAUAGGAGGUCCAGCCUGCCCCAGUGACAAAGUUCAACGGCCGCGGUACCCUAACCGUGCGAAGGUAGCAUAAUCACUUGUUCUUUAAAUGAGGACUAGUAUCAACGGCACCACGAGGACUCUACUGUCUCCUCCCUCCAAUCAGUGAAACUGAUCCCCCCGUGAAGAAGCGGGGAUUAUUCUAUAAGACGAGAAGACCCCAUGGAGCUUUAAACCCAAUAGGCAUCUCUGCAAACUUAAACCACCUUAGCCUUAGAGAUAUGCACUAUUAGUUUUAGGCUGGGGUGACCGCGGAGUAAAACUAAACCUCCACGACAAACGGGCUAACGCCCUGAUCUACGAACCACACUUCUAAGAACCAAUAUAUUGUUGUCCAAUGACCCAAUUAUAUGAUCAACGAACCAAGUUACCCUGGGGAUAACAGCGCAAUCUACUUCAAGAGCCCCUAUCGACAAGUAGGUUUACGACCUCGAUGUUGGAUCAGGGUAUCCCAGUGGCGCAACCGCUACUAAAGGUUCGUUUGUUCAACGACUAAGACCCU